rnacentral:lncRNA from 1 species
CGCCCCCACCCGGUGCCUGUGUAGUCUCUGUAGUCAAUACUACUGGUGCUGAUUCAACCUGUCGCAAAAAGUGCUGGUUCGAGUGAGCUAGAAUUCGAAAUGAUUAUUCACCAUAGUUCCAACUUUGGAGUCAAUAGCAUAACAUAAUAUAACACACAUAAUCGAUUAAAAUUAUGAGACGGAUUAUCCAUUAUAGAACUCUAAUGCCAAUAUCUUAACAUUGAUAAUGAUCAAUCAAAAAUAUAUGACGAAUGUAUCCAUACUUGUUACGUACGAUAUGAAAUUAACUUAGAAAAAAAUGAUACAUAUAUAGUAAAAGUAAGCUAAUUUACCUCAAUGGUGGCCAUCUUUCUAGAGAGAGAAAGAGAAAGGGAGAAUUGGACUUUGAGAUUUAGAGAGAGAGAGAGAGAGAGAGGGGGUUUGAUUUUGUGAGUGAUGUUAUGGAAUGAAGUGCAGAGAGGUAUUU